AGCUAUUCAUGUAAAGUUGGUUGUGCCAACAAAAAAUGAUCAUGUGUUCGACAAGGUUUAUCCGGUUAAGAUGGCAGUUAAUGUUAGCAAUAAGGUAUAUCAAAUCGUUGAUAUUGCCACAGAUGACGACGAAGAUGAUGGAGAUGAUGAUGAUGAAAAUUCGGUAGAUGCAGGUGAUAAAACUGAUGAUGAUUCAAUGGAUUUACCUUCUUUGUGACAUUUAAAUGUGGUGAUUCUGUUGUGAAAAAAACUUUAAUUUAGAACUAGAAACCCUGACAGUCUUUUACUGAUAAUAUUUUAGUAAUGUGUGAGUUAUUUCAUACAAAUGAUGUAUAAAUACCAGUGACAGAAUCGUGCAUAUCUGAUUGCUUAUGCUUGUCGUCGAUUAUAUGUUUUCUUUU
rnacentral:lncRNA from 1 species